GACGAACGCUGGCGGCGUGCUUAACACAUGCAAGUCGAACGGACCCUUUGGGGUUAGUGGCGAACGGGUGAGUAACACGUGGGUGAUCCGCCCUGCACUUUGGGAUAAGCCUGGGAAACUGGGUCUAAUACCGGAUAGGACUACGCACUGCAUGGUGUGUGGUGGAAAGCUUUUGCGGUGUGGGAUGGGCCCGCGGCCUAUCAGCUUGUUGGUGGGGUGAUGGCCUACCAAGGCGACGACGGGUAGCCGGCCUGAGAGGGUGACCGGCCACACUGGGACUGAGAUACGGCCCAGACUCCUACGGGAGGCAGCAGUGGGGAAUAUUGCACAAUGGGCGCAAGCCUGAUGCAGCGACGCCGCGUGAGGGAUGACGGCCUUCGGGUUGUAAACCUCUUUCGCCAGGGACGAAGCGCAAGUGACGGUACCUGGAGAAGAAGGACCGGCCAACUACGUGCCAGCAGCCGCGGUAAUACGUAGGGUCCGAGCGUUGUCCGGAAUUACUGGGCGUAAAGAGCUCGUAGGUGGUUUGUCGCGUUGUUCGUGAAAACUCACAGCUUAACUGUGGGCGUGCGGGCGAUACGGGCAGACUGGAGUACUGCAGGGGAGACUGGAAUUCCUGGUGUAGCGGUGGAAUGCGCAGAUAUCAGGAGGAACACCGGUGGCGAAGGCGGGUCUCUGGGCAGUAACUGACGCUGAGGAGCGAAAGCGUGGGGAGCGAACAGGAUUAGAUACCCUGGUAGUCCACGCCGUAAACGGUGGGUACUAGGUGUGGGUCUCCUUCCUUGGGAUCCGUGCCGUAGCUAACGCAUUAAGUACCCCGCCUGGGGAGUACGGCCGCAAGGCUAAAACUCAAAGGAAUUGACGGGGGCCCGCACAAGCGGCGGAGCAUGUGGAUUAAUUCGAUGCAACGCGAAGAACCUUACCUGGGUUUGACAUGCACAGGACGCCGGCAGAGAUGUCGGUUCCCUUGUGGCCUGUGUGCAGGUGGUGCAUGGCUGUCGUCAGCUCGUGUCGUGAGAUGUUGGGUUAAGUCCCGCAACGAGCGCAACCCUUGUCUCAUGUUGCCAGCACGUUAUGGUGGGGACUCGUGAGAGACUGCCGGGGUCAACUCGGAGGAAGGUGGGGAUGACGUCAAGUCAUCAUGCCCCUUAUGUCCAGGGCUUCACACAUGCUACAAUGGCCGGUACAAAGGGCUGCGAUGCCGUGAGGUGGAGCGAAUCCUUUCAAAGCCGGUCUCAGUUCGGAUCGGGGUCUGCAACUCGACCCCGUGAAGUCGGAGUCGCUAGUAAUCGCAGAUCAGCAACGCUGCGGUGAAUACGUUCCCGGGCCU
rnacentral:rRNA from 1 species